UGAGGAAUAUUGGUCAAUGGACGCAAGUCUGAACCAGCCAAGUAGCGUGCAGGAUGACGGCCCUAUGGGUUGUAAACUGCUUUUAUAUGGGGAUAAAGUGGGGAACGUGUUCCCUUUUGCAGGUACCAUAUGAAUAAGGAACGGCUAAUUCCGUGCCAGCAGCCGCGGUAAUACGGAGGAUACGAGCGUUAUCCGGAUUAAUUGGGUUUAAAGGGUGCGUAGGUGGCUGAUUAAGUCAGUGGUGAAAAGCUAUGGCUCAACCAUAGUCUUGCCGUUGAUACUGGUUAGCUUGAGUGUAGAUGAUGUAGGCGGAACGUGUAGUGUAGCGGUGAAAUGCAUAGAUAUUACGCAGAACUCCGAUUGCGAAGGCAGCUUACAAAACUACUACUGACACUGAGGCACGCAAGCGUGGGUAUCAAACAGG
rnacentral:rRNA from 1 species